GGAAUACUGGCUGCUUAUCUACUAUUUAUCUCUAGCUUUCUGAGAGUUUGGUCUAUCCGUAAUCAGCAGUAGCAGCCAUAAUGAUAAGGGGUCAACUUUUGGUUACCUCCAGUAAUAUUUGCAAUUUUCACCUUUCAGAAAGAUUUCAAGGGGCCACCCAAGUUCGACUUCUAUCGACAGCAAAAGAGUCAAUCCUCUUUGGUGCUAGUGGAGUCACGUUGCUCGAGUUGGGGGUAAAUUUGUGUGAUCGAGGUUGAGGUUUGCAUCAUUUACUCUUUUGAUGUUCAUCGAUUUUGAAGUUACCCAAGAGUGUGCGGAGUUUGGGAGAGAGAUUUGUUUUCAAUACUCAAAAUUACAUGAGAGCUGAAAUGAAAUUCUUGCUUUUAAGAUUGAUGUUGGCGACAUAAAAAAAUCACGAUUGUAUCGCAUAAUUAAAGUUAAAAUUUAGAAAUAACAUACACUACUACAAAAAAUGAAUCACACGACACCUCUCAUACGACGCCACACUGUUUUCCGUGGUGUGAAUCAUUUCUCAUUAUUGAGACGACGGUUGUAAAAUUUCUGUCUUCUAAUAUGAAUUCAACCAACGGGUGUUUUUCAUGCUGAAAUUAUGUAUUGCUUCAGAAGACGUUUAUAAAUGAAAGCGUGGUAUGAGGUUAAAUUGUUAUAGAGGCGGCAAGUUUCGCACCAAUUGACACCACUUAAAUUUCCCUAGUGUGUAGUGGUGAUACGACAGUUAGCUUAAAACUGUGGUAUGAAUCUAUAGAUUUCCAAGAGCGAAAUAUGUCCACCAACAUUCCCCCCAAUUUUUCCCUCCAUACUCCCCCCAAACCCAUUUCCCUCCCACCGAGGCAACAAGAAGAGGCAAACUGAAAAUUUGAAAGUGGCAUUCAGACAACAUGUAUAUGGAAAACGUGGUCUGAUGCCUUAUACAUGCAUGCAUCAACUAAUGGCUUGUCUGGCCGUGUGUCCAUUUAGAUCAAAUUAGAACACUUGAAGAAAAGAAAAAAAAAGCCUUAGACCAACCCUGACUCUCUCUUUUCACAACUCCACAGCUACCCGGCCCCCGACUCACUCCACAACUUACCCCACUUUGAAGCCCUAAACCCUAAAUCCACCACCUCUGAAGCGCCGUCUUUUUGGUACCAACCCCUACCUCCGAAGCCCUAAAUCUGAGAUUCAUCUUCGAAUCUGGUUAGUUCUCGUCCUCUCGAAUCUGGCUUUGAUUAACUGAUGGUUUACGGGUUCUUCACUUUUGAUUUGGGAUUCUUCACAAAUCACAUUACCCAAGGCGACCUCUCUUUAUAUGAGCAGAAGAACCCGAAGCUCAAGCUCCUUCGACCUCAUGAACGGUUUAAGAGAUCGAGUCGGUGCCUAGCACAGAUGACGAAGAACCCCAUCGCAGCUGUCCAGCUCCAAAGCUGAUUCUCUCUCGAAAGGUAAACGUCCCCAAUGUAAUUUCAAUUGAAAUUUCUGGGUUUGGUUCAGAGUCUCCUGUUAUUUUUAUUUUUUUUAGGUUCUUGUGGGAGAGAAUUGGAUUGUAUGUUAAAGUGUGCCCAAGAAGAUGGGUUUGGCUUCAGUUUGAUGCAAGUCCCGGAGAUUCUUGAUUUGGAAUGGCGUUGACGCGGUACCAAAUUUGGAAUGAAUAAAGCUUCGCCGAUCCGGAGCUCUACAAAGCCGCAGAUAGAGAUGAUCUGGAGUUCUUACAGGAAGGCAUCGCCAUGACCGGACUCGUCGGCGUCUUACACAGCUCGGCGACCUUGCAGAGGUCUGCUAUUCAGUUACAUCAGUUGCUUAGAGGUAUUCGGAAGCUUUGGAAGGAGCAGGACAGGGUCUGCUAUUGAUUUUGUUUUGGUAGAGAAUUUGAUUCUAUCCCUUUCCCUGAAAGGGCCAUGUCAUUGGCAUUUGAUAUCCUCAAUGACCUUGUGGAGGUUAGUGGAGAAUUCCCGCCAUGACUCUGCUUCAGGACAAGCGUUCGGACGAAAUUGUUUUCAAGGCUAUGGGAAGAGCUAUCAACAAGACUGACGAUUGUGGAGCUAAUUAAGGUUACAAUGAGACAUCUGUAUCACUAUGCUGGAUGGUUUUAUGUUCACUAGAUCGAAUAGGCUGGCAAGUUUUUGGUUCCAAUUAUAUGACAGUGAGGCAGAAGACCAUUGAGCAUGCCAUGAAGAACCCACCUGAAGCUAUCUAGUGUGCUCCGUCAACAAGUUUUUGGUUUAUGAAGCUAAGACAUUGACCAUGCCAUGAAGAACCCACCUGAAGCUAUCAAGUGUGCUCCAUCAACAAGUUUUUGGUCUACGAAGCUAUCAAGUGCAUUAGCUUAGGAAUUUAAUUCUAGGCUUGGCCUGGGUUUACAGAAUUAGUGUCUGACAAAGUUAAUAGAUGUACUUUUUCUGUGGAAGCUUCAGAGUGUGUGCUCUUUACUUUGUGCAUACAAUAUGGUAAUGAAAUCAUUGAAUCCAUUUUGUUCA